GGGGAUCAUCAUGCAAAUGGCCACAAACUAAUCCACAUCCUGGCGUGGGCUCCAUUACAUUUAUUGGGGUUUACACUGUGUGGGUUGUUAGCCCAACCCAUAGACAUGACUUGCUCAGGCACAAGGACACAUGUUCCUCUGGCUCAGCUAGCUGACAGGUGUCCAAAGGUAUCAGAAGAAUUGGACACAUUUCAGAACAAGAAUACCGAGAGACUCUGCGGAGUGGACACUAAUUAGUAC